AGAUUCGAUGUCCGUAUCACCUCAAUGCACCAGUUGUAGCCUGCAUGUGGACCAAAGCAAAAGCUGGAUAAGAUUAUGACUAUCUGAAGGGGAUACUAGGUGAUUCGUCUAGCUUCUCUUUAAUACUGCUGCCUGCGAGAGUCCAAGCCCAAUUUGUAGGACUUUAUGCUUAAGGUUUGACAAGGAUUAAGAUUAAGGGAAUGGAAGACUGGAAACGGAUUGCCUAAUGUUCCAGAGGAUAUCCAACAAAGCAAGCUCAGGAAUUGCAAAAAUGGAAGAAUUCCAAAUACGUAAGGCUGCAAUCUAUUCAACAGAUUUCCUCGGGUCCAAAAAGGCACAUGGAUCGGAAUUCAGCUACUCGAGAUACUACAAAAUUCUACUAUAU